ensembl:lncRNA
CCUCGCACGGGUCAGAUUCACCUUGCUGCGUCUGUCAUCGGGUUCUUAAAACAAGUGGAUUUCGGACAGGAAAAGAAACUCAGCUUUUUACGCGUGUUCCUUCUCGCUCUGUGUCAGCUGACGAGUAAAAUCCGCCCCAAAGCGCUCCGCUGGGACGAGCAGGAGAGGAAAUCCGCCCAAAACUUCCUGUCAGGAAGAAGAGGAGAUUUCUCACAAUCUCUCUCUCUCUCUCUCUCUCUCUCUCUCAGAAAGGCCGAAUAGCUCGAGUAAAUCCACUUCAGUUGAAUUACAAACAUCUCUUCCAAUGUCAUGUUAUAACAAUAUGCAGCUCCCUGUAAUCUUGUUUGGACAUCUAAUUAACAUCUUGCAACAAUAAAAAGGUUUCACAUGUAUUAUAAAUGGGCGAUUUUACAGAGGAAAGACGUGACGGCAGCAGUCCUUCCAGCCUCUCCGCCUCGCCGGACGCAGCCGAGCGUUCACUCGCUGCCGUUUGCUCGCUCGUUACUGAACAGAAGUUCAUGUUGCCUUCAGAACUGAGAACGCCUGUCUGCUGAUAAUCACAACCCGCCUGGAUCCUUCUUCAUGUUCCCAGUGCUUCUUUUUAACAGCAGAUAGCGCCGCAGCAUGUCGUGUUAGAGCGUUUGGACUCGGAGGAGAACACCGAUGGGAACAACCGGCGCAGCCUGAAAGACAUUCUCUACUUUUUUCCACUGAUUUUCUCUUUUUACUAAGUAAGGAAGACGCCGGGUUGGUGGAUUCAUCCCCCCAUAACUCCCCAUUACCCCCCUUUGGAUGUGACACUUUGAGCCAUGCUGCUGCUGCUGCUGCUGCUCUGCCUGCAAACCUCACAGCAAGAACAGACUCCUCCUGGUCGGUGUGACAUCUCAGACAGGUUGGACGUUCACACCUCCUGCUCUUCUUGUGCCGCCAUCAACAGGUGCCCCCCCGGCUUCCGCAGCGCGGGCACCGCCAACUGCAGGUAAGCACCAACCGCGAGCUGGGUAGAACGAGCAGAGUGCAGGUACGAGUCGACUGCAGGUACGAGAAGACUACAGGUACGAGUAGAAUGCAGGUACGGGUAGACUACAGGUACGAGUAGAAUACAGGGACGAGUCGACUACAGGUACGAGCAGAGUGCAGGUACGAGUAGAAUGCAGGUACGAGCAGAGUGCAGGUACGAGUCGACUGCAGGUACGGGUAGACUACCGGUACAAGUAGACUGCAGGUAGGAGCAGAGACUGCCUACCUGCAGGCCUUCAGAGCAGCGCAGGAUUGUUCCACACUAUCCACACACAGACUUUAGCUCAGUAAAUGGUUUGUAGUGGUACUAGUAGUGGUAGUACUAGUAGUGGUAGGAGUAGUAGUAUGAAGCUUCAUCUCAUGUUCUGUGUGUGCUGCAGUUA